ensembl:miRNA Mir7005 microRNA 7005
AGGGGCCCGGGGACGGGAGGACCAACAGAGAAAUUUGGCUUUCCUGAGCCCGCUACCCAUCCCUUGCAG